rnacentral:rRNA from 1 species
CGUACAAGGUUUCGUAGGUGAACUGCGGAAGGAUCAUUAUUGAAUAUUCAUGAUGGGUUGUAGCUGGCUCUUAGGAGCAUGUGCACACUUGUCUUGAUUCUAUUCAUCCACCUGUGCACCUUUUGUAGUCUUGGAGGUAGAGAGCAGUCAACUAUCGGACAGCUAUUAGUUGUUCCGGAUAUGGGAAAUGCUGAAAGCUUUUCUCAAAUGACUUGCAAACCUCUCUUUCAAGUCUAUGUAUUCAUAUACCACAUAGUAUGUUGCAGAAUGUGAUCAAUGGGCCUUUGUGCCUAUAAUAACCAUAUACAACUUUCAGCAACGGAUCUCUUGGCUCUCGCAUCGAUGAAGAACGCAGCGAAAUGCGAUAAGUAAUGUGAAUUGCAGAAUUCAGUGAAUCAUCGAAUCUUUGAACGCACCUUGCGCUCCUUGGUAUUCCGAGGAGCAUGCCUGUUUGAGUGUCAUUAAAUUCUCAAUCCUUAUAGCUUUUAUAAGCUUUAGGACUUGGAAUUGGGAGUUUGCGGGCCUUAUAAAGGUCAGCUCUUCUGAAAUACAUUAGCGGAACUGUUUGCAGUCCCGUCACUGGUGUGAUAAUUAUCUACACUGUGAUGAUUGCUCUCUAGUUGUUCAGCUGCUAAUUGUCCAUUAGUGGACACUACUUAAUGAACCUCUGACCUCAAAUCAGUAGGAUUACCCGCUGAACUUAAGCAUAUCAAUAAGCGGAGGAAAAGAAACUAACAAGGAUUCCCCUA